UCCGGUGCAUUAGUGCUGGUAUGAUCGCAU
rnacentral:snRNA from 1 species